rnacentral:rRNA from 1 species
UCUAAUAGAAUUCUUAUUAGUAUUGCCUGCUCUAUGUAAAAUAAAUGGCCGCAGAACCCACUGUGCUAAGGUAGCAUAAUAACUUGCCUUUUAAUUAAAGGCUAGCAUGAAAGGUACCACAUAUUGAUUUCUUUAUUAAAUAAACCAAUUUAACUUAACCUUUUAGUAAAAAGGCUAAAAUUUAUCAAAAGGACGACAAGACCCUGACAAACUUUACUUUCUUGUUUUGCUGGGGGGGCAAAAAAAAUUUACCUUUUUUCAUACAAAAUAACAAAAAAAUUCUAUUCUUUUACAAGUUACUGCAGGGAUAACAGCAUAAUUUUUUCCUAAAGCCCUUAUUAAAGAAAAAGUUUAUGACCUCGAUGUUGAAUUAGAUCACUUUUAGGAGCAAAAUCUUUUUAAGCAAGUCUGUUCGACUUUUAAUUUUCUACAUGAUUUGAGUUCAGACCGGUGCGAGCCAGGUCGGUUUCUAUCCUUUUUUCCAUAAUCUUUAGUACGAAAGGACCAAGAUUAAUUUAUUUUUUUUC